rnacentral:rRNA from 1 species
GACGAACGCUGGCGGCGUGCUUAACACAUGCAAGUCGAACGGAGCGCUUCUGACAGAGACUUCGGUCAAUGGAUGAAGUUGCUUAGUGGCGGACUGGUGAGUAACGCGUGAGGAACCUGCCUUUCAGAGGGGGACAACAGUUGGAAACGACUGCUAAUACCGCAUGACACAUUGAAGGGGCAUCCCUUUGAUGUCAAAGAUUUAUCGCUGAAAGAUGGCCUCGCGUCUGAUUAGAUAGUUGGCGGGGUAACGGCCCACCAAGUCGACGAUCAGUAGCCGGACUGAGAGGUUGACCGGCCACAUUGGGACUGAGAUACGGCCCAGACUCCUACGGGAGGCAGCAGUGGGGAAUAUUGGGCAAUGGGACGCAAGUCUGACCCAGCAACGCCGCGUGAAGGAAGAAGGCUUUCGGGUUGUAAACUCUUUUAAGGGGAGAGCAGAAGACGGUACCCCUUGAAUAAGCCACGGCUAAACUACGUGCCAGCAGCCGCCGU